GAUGAACGCUGGCGGCGUGCCUAAUACAUGCAAGUCGAGCGAACAGACGAGGAGCUUGCUCCUCUGACGUUAGCGGCGGACGGGUGAGUAACACGUGGAUAACCUACCUAUAAUACUGGGAUAACUUCGGGAAACCGGAGCUAAUACCGGAUAAUAUAUUGAACCGCAUGGUUCAAUAGUGAAAGACGGUUUUGCUGUCACUUAUAGAUGAAUCCGCGCCGCAUUAGCUAGUUGGUAAGGUAACGGCUUACCAAGGCGACGAUGCGUAGCCGACCUGAGAGGGUGAUCAGCCACACUGGAACUGAGACACGGUCCAGACUCCUACGGGAGGCAGCAGUAGGGAAUCUUCCGCAAUGGGCGAAAGCCUGACGGAGCAACGCCGCGUGAGUGAUGAAGGUCUUCGGAUCGUAAAACUCUGUUAUUAGGGAAGAACAAAUGUGUAAGUAACUAUGCACGUCUUGACGGUACCUAAACAGAAAGCAACGGCUAACUACGUG
rnacentral:rRNA from 1 species